rnacentral:lncRNA from 1 species
UUGUAGUGUGCACCAGAUGAAGAUGUAGACGAAGGACCUGAACCAUAGAAGAUACUGAACACUUCUUACUGAAAUGUGCUAAGCAUUGCUGUACUGAAAUGUUGUCAUGAAUCAGGACUUACUAAGACUGAUGUGAAUCUCUUGAAAGCAGUGAUACCAACAGACUUUUUAUAAAGAUUCAAACUAUACACUUGUAAAAUCAUGGAUAUGUUCACUCAUUUGUGGUACUAUAUGGAAUUCUGCUACGACUUCCUCAAGCCUUGUUAUUUAUUGCAUUAGUUGUUAAGGAUAUUAGUUUACACAUGUUGUAAAUAAAAUAUAAUGUGACAUUAUAUGUGAAUAUUUAUUAUUCUUGAAAGCUUUUGUGUUGGUUUGCUGUCCAAUUGACAAUUUUACCUCCUU